UACAGAGGUCUCAAGCGUUGUUCGGAUUCAUUGGGCGUAAAGGGUGCGUAGGUGGCGCCGUAAGUCAGGUGUGAAAUUUCGGAGCUUAACUCCGAAACUGCAUUUGAUACUGCGGUGCUCGAGGACUGGAGAGGAGACUGGAAUUUACGGUGUAGCAGUGAAAUGCGUAGAGAUCAUGAGGAAGACCAGUGGCGAAGGCGGGUCUCUGGACAGUUCCUGACACUGAGACACGAAGGCCAGGGGAGCAAACGGG
rnacentral:rRNA from 1 species